CUGGAAACCCAGACGUUAAUUGAUUGUUCCUCAACUCAUUUGUUCAUGCACGCCCUCCAAAACUAACACUUCACAGAGGAGCACCUCCCACUCUUCUUCUGUGUUGUUGUUCAAGAGAGAGAUCCCCUCUCUACUGAUUCCGUCGAAUUAUUUAUAGACGGAUCCGCGUGGAUUGGGUAGAGUUGUGGAUGGAAGGAGCUAAAUCAUUUUCUCUACCAAUUGAGUAUCAGAUUUGAAGGGAAAGGCGACGAGCAGAAAGAGCUGGAGUCGGUGCAGGAUACCCAGCCAUUGAAGUCUGGUGGGGGGAACGGCCAGAUUCGAUUUCGAUCACCGUC